rnacentral:rRNA from 1 species
CCUACGUGCGGCAGCAGUGGGGAAUAUUGGACAAUGGGCGAAAGCCUGAUCCAGCCAUGCCGCGUGUGUGAAGAAGGCCUUCGGGUUGUAAAGCACUUUCAGUGGGGAAGAAAGCCUUGGGGCUAAUACCCUCGAGGAAGGACAUCACCCACAGAAGAAGCACCGGCUAACUCCGUGCCAGCAGCCGCGGUAAUACGGAGGGUGCGAGCGUUAAUCGGAAUUACUGGGCGUAAAGCGCGCGUAGGCGGUCUGAUAAGCCGGUUGUGAAAGCCCCGGGCUCAACCUGGGAACGGCAUCCGGAACUGUCAGGAUAGAGUGCAGGAGAGGAAGGUAGAAUUCCCGGUGUAGCGGUGAAAUGCGUAGAGAUCGGGAGGAAUACCAGUGGCGAAGGCGGCCUUCUGGACUGACACUGACGCUGAGGUGCGAAAGCGUGGGUAGCAAACAGGAUUAGAUACCCCGGUAGUC